rnacentral:rRNA from 1 species
GUGCCAGCAGCCGCGGUAAUACGGAGGGUGCAAGCGUUAAUCGGAAUUACUGGGCGUAAAGCGCGCGUAGGUGGUUUGAUAAGCGAGAUGUGAAAGCCCCGGGCUUAACCUGGGAACGGCAUUUCGAACUGUCAGGCUAGAGUAUGGUAGAGGGUAGUGGAAUUUCCUGUGUAGCGGUGAAAUGCGUAAAUAUAGGAAGGAACACCAUUGGCGAAGGCGGCUACCUGGACCAAUACUGACACUGAGGUGCGAAAGCGUGUGGAGCAAACAGGAUUAAAUACCCUGGUAGUCCACGCCGUAAACGAUGUCUACUAGCCGUUGGGACUCUUGAAGUCUUAAUGGCGCUACUAUACACACUAAAUUUAACCGCCUGGGGAGUACGGCCGCUAGGUAAAAACACAAAUGAAUUGACGG